rnacentral:lncRNA from 1 species
UAGAUUUAGGAAAAUCAAGGUUGACGCAUUCUCGAUCGCCGACUGAGACGACAUAACACAUGCGCAGUGCCUUAAAAUGACGUCACACGUUGCAGUCAAAGCUGUCGACGUGCAAAUCUAAAAGUCCCUAAUGUUUGCCAAGGCGGGGAGCAUGACGUUACUUAUUAACACGACCUCUCAACACGAUUCUCCAUUCCCGGAAUACAACCGUCAUACGUAGUGCUGCAUCCGUACGUCAUAGAGUAUCUUUGAACUAGCACCUAGUACAGCUUUGACCGGUAAUGCUCAAUAGCCGAUGUCUAUAAACACAUCUAACCAUUUCAUAUUAUUCUUGAAAAGGCAGUCUUUAUCGUGGAAAUUACCGCAACAUCUUGGACUACAUAACAACGCCUGACUAAAUGUGAAGGGGAGCUUUCCAGAUAUCACAAUGAAGUACCUGAUAAUUGCAGCUGUAUUAUGCAUCUUUAUUGGUGUAUCUGACGCCCUCUGGUGUUACAAGUGUUCCGGGUCUGGAUGCGAGACACCAGACACAACCGUAGAAGGUGUUUACAUCACGGAAUGUGACGACUACACCUCUCUUUGUUUCAAACAAACGAUCACGCACUAUGGGGAGUCCAUGUACGCCCGGGGCUGCACGUCCCGCAAGUCAGACUGCCAACCCGGGUGCCAAGGUGAGCCAGAUAAUCAACUCUGUGAGUCCUGCUGCUUCUCGAACCUCUGCAACAGAUCAGCUACGGUGCAUGUCAACCUCGUUCUCCUUGUUACGACGUUCCUGAUUGGCGCACUGUUAUUACGCUGUUGAUGGAGACAGUAGAGCGCCGCCUCUGAUUGGACCAAAGAAUCUUUCAAACAUCUCUUUCUUUUCAUUUUGUAUUGUUGCGAUGGUUAAUUAUGGCAAAGUAGUCGUCCUCAAGAUUUAAUCAAAUGGAGUCACAUGAAUUCAACAAAUCAAAAUAUCCGGCAAAUGAGUUAAAGUGUAUGCGAAGUAGUCAACAAACAGUUAUGUUCGUAAACGUAAAGCCAAUUUCCAUGAUCAUUAUGAUUCAAUCGAUAUUGAAACAAAGACAUGAAUAUAAAAUCAAUUUCAAGAAAGUGCGUUAAGAUCUUAGAGACGCAUAGAAGUGGAUUUUCAUGGGGAAUUUUCACCAUUCGGAUAUUUACCCAAUAACCGGUGUUGUCACCAAGAUGGGACUUCACCUUUACGAUCGACAGGUCUUAUUUAAAAAUGCAUAAUGCUCUAUCCUAACACCGUAAGGAAUCCUCGUCAUAUACAUCAAAUUUCCCCUCACCCUCCAGAUACGUACAGGCAGUUGGGGCUAUUUUCUAGUUGGACCAGGGGUUCGCUGCUUCAAAGUCCUAUUGCACACACAUACACAUAAAUAGGAAAUUCGACCAAAUCUAGUGGCAGCGAAUUAUGAUGCAAUACACAUAGACGGUGACUACUAUUAUAUGGCUUUAAGAAAAUCAAGACGAAAUCGCAAGUUGUAGCGUAACGCACUUUACUCUUAAAAACAGGAACAAUGCAAGUGUUUCCAUUUAGACCUUUAGCCAUUGCUAUUCUGUACAAUGAAAUAUUUCAAAUGCCUUUAGUCUAUUCUGAUGUAUCAUAUUUCUGGGGCCCGUUUCAUAAAACUUGUUAUCUAUAACAACUGCUAAAUUUCUAUGACAAAUUUGCUCUCAGCCAAUCAGAUGCCAUAAUUUCAGUAGCUUAUAACAGUAGCUUGUAACUUGUUAUUGAUAACAAUUUUUAUGAAACAGUUCCCUGGUGUUGUUAUGUUGUUCAUUUUGUUAUCGAAAGAAUAUGAAGUAGAAUGUUAUUUGCCAAGUAUUUAAAUAAUCAGCGCGUUUAAUGAAAGUCUUUCGAUAUUUGCUAUUGACAGGCAUUGAAUAAUGACGUCAUAUUCUGUGUGAUAUUUUUAUAAAGCAAUACUAAAUAGCUAGGAAAUAUAGGACUACAAUUUAAAGUGUUCUGAGUAAGAUGAAAUGUACAUACCUUACGUGCUACAUGAUUACUGAAAACUGGCAUGGAUUCCUUUUUUUUUAAAUACAAUGAUGCAAUAAAUAGUCGUAAUUUAGAAUUAAUAAGUCUUGUCACUCUUGUGUCUU